rnacentral:lncRNA from 1 species
UUCGAAUUCACACUCGGCGGGCCGGCGAAGGUGUGCGCGCCCGCGGGAGCGCCGGGGCGAGCCCGAGGGACUGCAAGCCAGGAAGGGAGGCAUGGGUGGCGGGGGGCGCCGUCUGAUCCAGGUAGGAGCGGAGGCGCCGAUCACACACUCUUCAGACGCCCUGCCCGCGCCUGGCCAGCGCGCAGCCUGCAGGACGCGCGGAGCAGGAACUCGCUGGAGUUUGCCAAGCCCCACGACACCCACUUAACUUCGGAGUUAGUGGGACACCUUUCUUUUUGCUUAGUACGCUUUUCUGCUAUUCCUGCCGCAUAACUCUCUCUUCCCCAGGCUUUUCCCAUCUCCAUCCUAUUCUCUCGCAGGCAGGUUUUUCUUCCGCCUCUCUGGGGAUUUUCGCGUUGGUUCUCCCUGCCCCCAGGAGUGAGGCGGGUAACGCCCACGCCUACCUCCCGCAGCCGCUUCGGCCCCAUUCGGAAUGCCACAGCACUUGGUCCAGUGUGUUAUAUAACAUGCAGGCAGGGCUUGGACACCAUCCAUUCAUAACAUAGCGAGUGGUUUACAGCCCAGGUUCUGAAUUCAGACUAAUCUGAGUUGAGAUCUCCAUGCACCACUUAAACUUUCUGUAAGGCCUUAGGUGCUGGGGGAAAAGAUUACUUCCCAGAUGCAGUAUUUACAUCUCCUCCGCCCUACUCUUCCAACCCUGCCUGAAAUAAGUGUGGUUCUCCUGUCUGUCAGACUAUGAAGAGUUCUCAAAUAUGUCUUUCCCAGCGAGGGAGAGGAGAGUGAGUAUCCAGGAACUUUAAUGCGAUAGGACAUCAAUAUGAGUGUUUAUAGGGAAAGCCAGUGAUCCUAUUGUUAGACGCGAAAUCAAGACAUAUGAUCUGAUUUUUUGUUUUACUUUUUGUUUUUGAGGUAUAACAUUCAGUAAAGCGCACAAAUCAAAAGUGUGCGUCUAUGAGAUUCAUCCAUAUUGUUGUGUGUAACAAUGGUCCAUUCUUUUUCACUACUGUGUAUUACUUCAUUAUAUAAAUAUUCAACGAUUUGUGUACUCAUCCUACUGUUGGUGGACAUUUGAGUUGCUUCAUGUUUCUGCCUUUGAUGAAGCUGCUGCAGACAUUCUUACACAUGUCUUUUGGUGGACAUAGCAUUCAUUUAUGUUGGAUAUAUAUAUAUACCUAGGAUUGGAUUCCUGGUUCAUAGAGUGUUCACAUAUUAAACUUUAAAUACACUGCCAGUUUUUAAAUUCGUAUAACAAUUUAGGUUCCAACCAGUGAUAUGAGAUUUCCGGUUGUUUCACAUCUUUGCCAGUAUUGGUAUUUUCAGUCUUUUUAAUUUAAAAAGGGGGGGGAAACUUCAGCCUCCACGAUCGAUGUUUCUCAAGUGUCAAGGAAAAUGGAGCCUAGGAGGGCAGCCCCACAAGCAGCGUGAUGGGCAUUUAAGCCGACGCAUGUGCCAGGUCCUAGAACAGAGUAACUUCCCCAUCUCAACACAAUAAAAUGGUGAUAUGAGA